rnacentral:rRNA from 1 species
UGCCAGCAGCCGCGGUAAUACGAAGGGUGCUAGCGUUGUUCGGAUUUAUUGGGUUUAAAGGGUGCGUAGGCGGCCUUAUAAGUCAGUGGUGAAAUCCUUCAGCUUAACUGGAGAACUGCCAUUGAUACUGUAAGGCUUGAGUACAGACGAGGUAGGCGGAAUUUAUGGUGUAGCGGUGAAAUGCAUAGAUACCAUAAAGAACACCUAUAGCGAAGGCAGCUUACUAGACUGUAACUGACGCUGAGGCACGAAAGCGUGGGGAGCGAACAGGAUUAGAUA